CCUACGGGGGGCGGCAGUGGGGAAUCUUUCGCAAUGGACGCAAGUCUGACGAAGCAACGCCGCGUGAGUGAGGAAGGCCUUUUGGGUUGUAAAGCUCUGUUGCCGGGGAAGAAAGUUAGUGUAAGGAAAUGUGCAUUAAUUGACGGUACCUGGUGAGGAAGCACUGGCUAACUACGUGCCAGCAGCCGCGGUAAUACGUAGAGUGCAAGCGUUGUCCGGAAUCAUUGGGCGUAAAGGGUACGCAGGCGGAUAUACAAGUCAAAUGUGAAAGGUGUAGGCUUAACCUACAGACUGCGUUUGAAACUGUAUAUCUUGAGAGCAGCAGAGGAAGGCGGAAUUCCUGGUGUAGUGGUGAAAUACGUAGAUAUCAGGAAGAACACCAGUGGCGAAGGCGGUCUUCUGGGCUGCAUCUGACGCUCAUGUACGAAAGCUGGGGUAGCGAACGGGAUUAGAUACCCCGGUAGUCCCAGCUGUAAACGAUGGUCACUAGGUGUUGGAGGUUCGAAUCCUUCAGUGCCGGAGUUAACGCAUUAAGUGACCCGCCUGGGGAAUACGGUCGCAAGACUGAAACUCAAAGGAAUUGACGG
rnacentral:rRNA from 1 species